UUAAAAGUCCAUAUACAAUUCCCUAAGCCCAUAAAUUACCUAUAUGAAUCCAAACUAAACCCACAAUUCUCACACAAUAAUCACUCACGCUAAUUCCUCUCCUCUCUUCUUCUCUCUCUCUCCUCACUCGGCUUUCCCCCUCCCCCCUUCGGUAUUUUCCUCUUUCGGCCCAGCACCGCCGGCUACCGGACCACCACCGACAAUCGUGAACCCUCGCAAUCAGCAGCUAGGACCGGCGCUUCCUCCUCGAUGCCGACCCUCUCUUCUUCUCUCUUAGGCGGUGAAUAUUCUUUAGGCGACUUCUAAGGUUGUGAAAGUGGUCUCUCGUUUUGUCUACACAAGGUACGUACAUACCUAUGUGUUAAUAGACUAGUAUCAUAUCCUAAUAGUAGGUUGAUGUAGUAUCAUGUAUAAGAAACUUUUUAUAGUUCAUAUGUGGUUUAUAUUCAAGUGAAAUUGCAUAUUUUAUGCCGUUGUGUGUAGCAUGUUGCCUAUGUUUGUUAUAAUAUGUUUUUAUGGUUCAUUGAUGCAAACAUUAGGAUUAGGAACUUUAUUUUAUUAAUUCACAUGAAAGAUUAAUAUUUAUAUUGUUUAUUUGAUCAUAUUGUUCCCUUGUAUUACAUCAUUGUUUUUACUUUAUAAGGAUCGUGAGCCUUGUUUAGUAAAGUCGGUUAUUCACCUAUGGAAAGGUUGGUUGAUUGUUGAUUUAAUUUAACAAAUAAAAUAUUGGAUGAUUGUUGAUUUAAUUCAACAAAUAAAUAUUGGUUGGUUAUUAAACUAAGUAAUGGAAUUAUUCUUGGAUUAUUUGAGUUGUAUGAUCACACUAUUUAAUCUUAAGAUAAAAAUGGAAGCUUUGUGUAUCCAUGUUAUUUGUUUAUGUUGGUUGUCUUACUUUGUGAUUCUCAACAAGUAAAAAAAUUUAUUAAUAACUUAAAGUGGAAAGUUAAUAACAAUAAGCUUUAGACUUGUGCACGUCUGAAGUGUUGGACUAGUAUGAGUUGGAGUACAUGGUGGUUGGCCAUGCCUUUUCUUGGGAUCGGAUUGAUCACUGUGUCCUAUUUUAUUUAAUUAGUACCUUGAUAUCGUUGGUCAUGGGAGUACGGAGUCAUGCCCGUACUUCGUCUUCUAAAAUGAAGACUGGUUUGGUUUGGACAACUUUUUCCAUUGCCUAUUCAAUCUAAUUAUAAUUAAUCUAUUGAUUUUGGAGUCAAGUUUAGUAUAGUCAAUCUUUUAUUCAUUAUUUCAUUGUUUAUCUUCGAGUUAAUGUUUAUUAGUACCAUGUUAGGUUUUAUAUAUUAUUUAGUAUGCAGUACUCAACUUUGCUGAUCACGUGCUUUUUUGAAUGUUAAUCAUGGUUGUGCCUUAUUGAUCUUGUGAUGACUCAUUUGGUGAGCGGUAUCUGAGGAUCAAUAGAGCAUCCACUAUUUCAGGUCUGAAGAUGAUGCAUCGUGGGUUCGACUUUUGUGGAAAGCUUGUGUUUAGUUUUAAUACUUUAUAGUUUUGUUUUAGUUAUGGUUACCUAGUUGACUUUGGUUUGGUUGAUUUUUGGUUUGGUUUUGGACUUGCGCCUAGCCUAGCAUUGAUCCAAAAUCUAAUCUCGUUAGUAUCUUGUGAACUUUUUCGAUUGCUUUGAAAGCAAUAACAAUUAUCUUCCUUCUC